UACGGAGGGGGCUAGCGUUGUUCGGAAUUACUGGGCGUAAAGCGCACGUAGGCGGCUUUGUAAGUUAGAGGUGAAAGCCCGGGGCUCAACUCCGGAAUUGCCUUUAAGACUGCAUCGCUUGAACGUCGGAGAGGUGAGUGGAAUUCCGAGUGUAGAGGUGAAAUUCGUAGAUAUUCGGAAGAACACCAGUGGCGAAGGCGGCUCACUGGACCGGCAUUGACGCUGAGGUGCGAAAGUGUGGGGAGCGAACAGG
rnacentral:rRNA from 1 species